AGAGUUUGAUCCUGGCUCAGAACGAACGCUGGCGGCAGGCCUAACACAUGCAAGUCGAGCGGAAACGAUGGAGCUUGCUCCAGGCGUCGAGCGGCGGACGGGUGAGUAAUGCAUAGGAAUCUGCCCGGUAGUGGGGGAUAACCUGGGGAAACCCAGGCUAAUACCGCAUACGUCCUACGGGAGAAAGCAGGGGAUCUUCGGACCUUGCGCUAUCGGAUGAGCCUAUGUCGGAUUAGCUUGUUGGUGAGGUAAUGGCUCACCAAGGCGACGAUCCGUAGCUGGUCUGAGAGGAUGAUCAGCCACAUCGGGACUGAGACACGGCCCGAACUCCUACGGGAGGCAGCAGUGGGGAAUAUUGGACAAUGGGCGAAAGCCUGAUCCAGCCAUGCCGCGUGUGUGAAGAAGGCUUUCGGGUUGUAAAGCACUUUCAGUGAGGAAGAAGGCCUUGGGGCUAAUACCCCCGAGGAAGGACAUCACUCACAGAAGAAGCACCGGCUAACUCCGUGCCAGCAGCCGCGGUAAUACGGAGGGUGCGAGCGUUAAUCGGAAUUACUGGGCGUAAAGCGCGCGUAGGCGGCGUGAUAAGCCGGUUGUGAAAGCCCCGGGCUCAACCUGGGAACGGCAUCCGGAACUGUCAGGCUAGAGUGCAGGAGAGGAAGGUAGAAUUCCCGGUGUAGCGGUGAAAUGCGUAGAGAUCGGGAGGAAUACCAGUGGCGAAGGCGGCCUUCUGGACUGACACUGACGCUGAGGUGCGAAAGCGUGGGUAGCAAACAGGAUUAGAUACCCUGGUAGUCCACGCCGUAAACGAUGUCGACUAGCCGUUGGGGUCCUAGAGACCUUUGUGGCGCAGUUAACGCGAUAAGUCGACCGCCUGGGGAGUACGGCCGCAAGGUUAAAACUCAAAUGAAUUGACGGGGGCCCGCACAAGCGGUGGAGCAUGUGGUUUAAUUCGAUGCAACGCGAAGAACCUUACCUACCCUUGACAUCGUGCGAACUUUCCAGAGAUGGAUUGGUGCCUUCGGGAGCGCACAGACAGGUGCUGCAUGGCUGUCGUCAGCUCGUGUUGUGAAAUGUUGGGUUAAGUCCCGUAACGAGCGCAACCCUUGUCCCUAUUUGCCAGCGAUUCGGUCGGGAACUCUAGGGAGACUGCCGGUGACAAACCGGAGGAAGGUGGGGACGACGUCAAGUCAUCAUGGCCCUUACGGGUAGGGCUACACACGUGCUACAAUGGCCGGUACAAAGGGUUGCGAAGCCGCGAGGUGGAGCUAAUCCCGAAAAGCCGGU
rnacentral:rRNA from 1 species